rnacentral:rRNA from 1 species
GAUGAACGCUGGCGGCGUGCCUAAUACAUGCAAGUCGAGCGAACGGACGAUAAGCUUGCUUCUCUGAUGUUAGCGGCGGACGGGUGAGUAACACGUGGAUCACCUACCUAUCAGACUGGGAUCACUUCGGGAAACCGUAGCUAAUACCGUAUAAUCUUUUGCACCGCAUGGUUCAAAAGUGAAAGACGGUCUUGCUGUCACUUCUCGAUGGAUCCGCGCUGCAUUAGCUAGUUGGUAAGGUAACGGCUUACCACGGCAACGAUGCAUAGCCGACCUGAGAGGGGGAUAGGCCACACGGGAAGGGAGACAGGGUCAAGACUCCUAAGGGAGGCAGCAGAAGGGAAUGUUAGGCAAUGGGCGAAAGCCUGACGGAGCAAGGCGGCGUGAGAGAUAAAGGUGUUGGGAUCGUAAAAAUCUGUUAUUAGGGAAGAACAGAUGUGGAAGGAAAUGUGCACAUAGUGACGGUACCGAAUCAGAAAGCAACGGCUAACUACGUG